GUUGUUUAACCCUGUCAGUCCUGAGAGCCCAGGUUGUUUAACCCUGUCAGUCCUGAGAGCCCAGGUUGUUUAACCCUGUCAGUCCUGAGAGCCCAGGUUGUUUAACCCUGUCAGUCCUGAGAGCCCAGGUUGUUUAACCCUGUCAGUCCUGAGAGCCCAGGUUGUUUAACCCUGUCAGUCCUGAGAGCCCAGGUUGUUUAACCCUGUCAGUCCUGAGAGCCCAGGUUGUUUAACCCUGUCAGUCCUGAGAGCCCAGGUUGUUUAACCCUGUCAGUCCUGAGAGCCCAGGUUGUUUAACCCAGUCAGUCCUGAGAGCCCAGGUUGUUUAACCCUGUCAGUCCUGAGAGCCCAGGUUGUUUAACCCUGUCAGUCCUGAGAGCCCAGGUUGUUUAACCCAGUCAGUCCUGAGAGCCCAGGUUGUUUAACCCUGUCAGUCCUGAGAGCCCAGGUUGUUUAACCCUGUCAGUCCUGAGAGCCCAGGUUGUUUAACCCAGUCAGUCCUGAGAGCCCAGGUUGUUUAACCCUGUCAGUCCUGAGAGCCCAGGUUGUUUAACCCUGUCAGUCCUGAGAGCCCAGGUUGUUUAACCCUGUCAGUCCUGAGAGCCCAGGUUGUUUAACCCUAUCAGUCCUGAGA